CAACUCGACUCCAUGAAGUCGGAAUCGCUAGUAAUCGCAAAUCAGAAUGUUGCGGUGAAUACGUUCCCGGGCCUUGUACACACCGCCCGUCACACCAUGGGAGUGGGUUGCUCCAGAAGUAGAUAGCUUAACCUUCGGGAGAGCGUUUACCACGGAGUGAUUCAUGACUGGGGUGAAGUCGUAACAAGGUAGCCCUAGGGGAACCUGGGGCUGGAUCACCUCCUUA
rnacentral:ncRNA from 1 species